GAAGAGGACCGUGUGUGCCCGACAGUGGUUGGACACCAGCAAGAGACAGAGUCGCUUAGCGGGGAUCUUCAUUCCCCUACGGCCUUCCCUGCCCCUGCCUGGCACCCUCCAGCUGGAGAUGAAGGAUGGCUCUGGGGAAACUCCAUUCUGUAAUUCAUUUAAGCGGGAUCAGCAGAACUCCUGCCCUGGAAGAUUCGGACCAGAACACCAGGCGUUGGGAAUCUCCAUGGGGUCUCGCAGGUCCACGGGAGACAGGAAAGAAAGACCAGGCGUCAGGCAAUGUGGGAUUCAGCCAGCCGGCUCUAACACCAAAAAGCCACCAGACCUGAGCCCUCUCACCAAUAACGGACAUGCUGAAGAUGCCAAAUGGAGAUGA
rnacentral:lncRNA from 1 species